rnacentral:rRNA from 1 species
GAUCAUGGCUCAGGAUGAACGCUAGCGACAGGCUUAACACAUGCAAGUCGAGGGGCAGCGCGGGAGUCAGCUUGCUGACUUCUGGCGGCGACCGGCGCACGGGUGAGUAACACGUAUGCAACCUGCCCGCCACAGGGGGGAUAACCGGGGAGAAAUCCCGACUAAUACCGCGUAGUCCGGAUGGAGGCAUCUCCGUACGGGGAAAGAGCGAUCCGGUGGCGGAUGGGCAUGCGGCG